UGUGACAGCUUCAUUAUACGUUGCUUCGGUAGGUUUUACGCGUAAAUAAGAACCUGUCUUUGGUAUAUAAACAUAAUGAACUGCGUAACUUGUGUGGCACAUCUCUCGGAUAUAUGGUCUUGGUACCGUAAUUUCGUUUGAUAGAUUGCCGAGAACAAGAUGGAGAUCUUCUUCUGGUUCAGAUAUUCGGUCUUUAUGCUGCUUAUCAUCUGGGUAUCAUGGUUGUAUCUUUUACCGAAAAAUAACGGGGACGCAAGUCUAGAUCUUCCGUGAUACUAUACAUACGUGUACAUAUUACAUACUGCAUUCGACCUCAAUAAGUGAUAAACAAUCACAUGUCCAAACAAAUAAGUGAUAAAAUAUCACAUUUAUCCGGGAGUCAAGUUCGUCUCUCUGCUGUACGGAAGUACUGACCUGUUCACGGACUUGCUCCUGUGCCCUCAUGCAUAUGAAAAUCAAGUUCCUCAUCAAUAAGUGAUUAUAUCACAUAGGGCUUGUUUUCA
rnacentral:lncRNA from 1 species